rnacentral:lncRNA from 1 species
AUAGCUCUUGGAGAUACAAGUGGUUAUGCUCUGCGAACUUCUAAGGGGCCUUCGGUUUGAUGUACUGAUCAGCUUAUAAGAGACAGAACACUAGGCACAGAUUCAUGAUGUUCCGACUUUCCCUGGCGGUGGCUUACAGUACUGGGCUUGUUUGAAGGUUUAUAUCAAUCCUAUUUUUGCAGGCUAGCAUGAUCAGUUUCUCCAUCCCAUGCCUUUAAGACAAUGGCUUACACUGGGCUUGUUUUUUUUCCAGAACUACUCCUUUU